CUCCUCCCGCAGCGGCAACCGGCACGCCCGACUCCGCCUCCUCCUCCUCCUCCGUCGCGGCCUCUCUCGCGACAACUCAGAAUCCCGCGAGGAAGAGCCACGGGGCUUCCGCUCCUCUCCGGCUUUAUGUAUGCAUACAUAUAUAAACAACAACACCCCGAAACCAUAGAGUUGUCCAUAGACUCUGAAUGAGCCGCAGAGUCGGCAAGGGCGCACGUUACUCUUUGGCUGUUCUCUCUCUAUGAUAUGGUGCAGCUCGUCUUCAGAUUUUUACCUCAGCUUUAGAGGAAUCGAAUAGCAGCAAUACGUGCAGUAUUGAGUCCUGCCGACUGCUGCCUGGAGGCUUAUCUUCUCGGUUCCUUUACUCCGCCUUACCCGCCUCCCCCCCCCCCCAAGACAAAAUGUAAGGGAGGAAAAGGAGGAUUUCAGCGCCGCUGUGAAAUUUAAGGCGGUCUCAUGCGAAAGGGGACAGGUCUGAGCGCCCCAUGAUAUGCUCAAUUCACUGCAGACAUUUGCUGUGUUCUAUUCUCUUGAAUGCAGACACGUGGCCCUUUCACUACUCUGGCUGUAGCCCUAUGCAGACAUGGGGGAAUCUCUCAGCAUAUGCAGAGGACUCAAGAAAGGGAUCAGCUCCUCAUUUUUCACUGGGCUUUGCAAACUCCCAUAAGCAGUGAAAGGGAUUUCGCCCUUCAUGCCAGAAGACUUAGAAAUCUGUUAAUCCUGCUGGGCACAAGGUGUCACCAUGGGGUUUCUGAAAGAAACACUUCAAUCUUAACACAGUUAUGUCAAAGCACAGGCCCACUGCAAUUUGCCUUGUGUCUUUUGGAAGCUACUGUAAAGCACGAAGGAAGAGAUGUAUGCCAUAGAUGACAAAGGAAAUAUUGGGCGCAAAGGUUCUGGAAAUCUGUGAUUGGCCAAGAUCUCUCUUACAUGUGUCUACUAUAUACAGCCAUGUGACUCCUCAACCAUGUACAGUAUAAAGUAAAAAAGUCUGUUAUGUAAAGUAUAUGUAAAGUACAUGCCCUUAGGGACUUUAGAUGCUCUUUCUCUUAUGAUUCUAAGCUUGGAACUGUGUUUUAUGGUAACAUAUAUCAUAACGUAUACCUUAAUGCUCAGAAUAACAAAUCCACCAGCUGAGUCUGCUGAUGUUCUAGAAAUAGAUAUCAGAGCAAACAGGGUGCUGGAAAAUAUUGUUACUUUCAAAAGUCAUUGCCUUACAUGGUUGCUGAAAGAGUUCAGUGAAGGUCAAUAGAGAAACAAAUUAUACCCCGUUGGGUCAAAGGAAGAGAAUGUGUAACUUGGGUCUCCACAGUCUGUUACACAGCCACUUUUCUCAUAGUCUGAUAACAUAUCCAGCAUGGGGCCAAAAUGCAUGCUGGUAAUCAGUGCCUUUUUGUGGGGUGAGGGUUACAAAUGAGGUGCCAGUCCUCAUACCUGGAUAAAAGUGACAUGGGUGUCUACACAAACUGACUGGAGGGAAUUCGUUUCCCCUUAGCUGUGCACUAUUUUUGAUGUAAAACAUUACCUUCACUUGGCCCUGCUUUAUACAUAAUGGUGCUGCCCUGCCAUAUCUUACCAGGCCCUCUGCUUGAGCUGAUAGGUCAAUGUGGACUUCCUGGACACCACCCUACGGUUGCAUAGGCACCUAUUUAUCUACUUGCACUGGCAUGCUUUCAAACUGCUGGGUUGGCAGGAGGGUUGCAGAUACAGGCAUGGGUGGAAGAGAUGGCGGAGCCAAAGGAAAUGGGAAGUGAUAUAUGAGUUUUGUGCCUCCCAUGAGACAGGAGCAAGGGAGGAAGAACAGAAUGUACCAGAAGUUGAGGGAGAAAUGGUGCUUGAAGGGAGGGAGCUAUCAGAAUCCCUUCUGUCCCCUCCCCUGCUGUCUCCCAGGACCAGGAGGGGCUUGAGGAGACAGGCACAUUGACAACUCCUGUGUUGAAGGAGUCACAGGUUUUUUGCCCUUGUGCUGUUGGAGGAGGGCACUUAAGUUUGGGGUUGAGGGCUGGCCACCCACGACUCCAUCAGUCCAGUCUGGAGCAUAAGCUCAGGGAGGGGCUCCAGCUGCUUAGCCACCAGAAGUGUGUAUAUGCAUAUUUGGUGCACCAGUGGAGCUACUAGAAGUUCAUGCUUUGUCAGUAAAGAAUUAAACUCCCGGCCAUUUGUCCUCUUUGGGCUGGGUAUGCUCAGGACAGCUGAUGAUUUCUUUCUUUGCAAUGGCCUGCAUAAGUUUUGAUUGUGUGCUCAGAUACUGAAUGUUGAAGGUAUCUAAUUUCAUUCCAGCUAGCUGUAUAAAUUCAUCAAUGAGAGAUAGAAGUAAAUGUGGAAAAUUUUACAAGACAGUCCACGGCGUCUGGAGAUUUUCUGAAAGUUGCAUUGAUUCCACUGGGGAAAAGUCUCACAAAGCUCUUGAAUAUUACAAUAACCUUCAAAAUUAAAACAAUUCAGAUACAAUUUGUUGGAGUGUGAUUAGUGGUGCCUCAGCAUCUCCUACCUGACUGUAUAAAAGUCAGACAGUGUCAAAUCUCCAAAGAGCCUAGCGCUUAAGCAAUAAUUAGCCACAGUUAAAGAGCUAGCUUAAUCCAUGUUGUAUCAGCUUUUGUUAAUAUCAUUGUUGAUGUGUUUUAUUUUUAGCAUUGUUUGCUGGUAAAAUACUCAGCAAGUAAAAAAGGAGGAACUGGAUCAAUCAAAUGCAUUUAUAAAGUAUCAACAACUAGGUUUUUAUUGGUGAAUAAGGACAGAACAGGUCAAAAGGCCAGGAUCUAGUUCAAGUGGACUGCUGGCAUGUUCAAGUAUCACUUCUCAUCUUUGUGAUCUCUGAAUUAGGGAAGAGAAUAGGAAGGGCAACCUUGAAAAGCACCAGCAAAAUGCCACCAUUUUCUCUCUAGCAUGUCCUAAUGCUGAAUCUUCCUUCUAAUCCACCUUCCAACCUGGAAAGUGGAGGAGUUAAAAGACUGGGGCAUGUUACAGAGACUGUGACUGUACUUCCUUCAUUAUUUGUGUCUCUAUUUGACCCUUCUCAGAUAUUUAUUACUGUCCCUGGAGGAAGAUGGGCAAUACGUAAUCAUUUCAAGUAUACCAAGAAGAUGAGUUUUUAUUUGUUCCCGGGUAACCCCUGUCUCACCAGUCUUUUUGCUGCUUAUUCUUCUCCUAUUCCCUGGGCAAAGGAAGAGACAAUCUAAGGGUGUGCCAAAGGGUAGAGGCAUGCCCUGGCUUCUGUCUCUUCCUUUCCAUUUACCACUCAGGAGAAAGGAAGGCAAGAGAGAAGGGAUGCUUUAGCACCUAGGAAAGGUGGCACCAUCCCUUUGCUUCCAUGUCAUGGCAAGUAUUUGUCUUCUCAUCUGAUGUAUGAUGGAGAAAGAGAGGCUUUAAUCCUUUGCCCCCCACCCCGUCAUUUGCAUUAAGAAGGAAAUUCCCAUUUGCACCAAUAGGAGUGCGAAAGACUCAGGAGAGAGAGCUUACUUGUAGUCUUUGGGCUAAAUACCAUCUCACUCAC